rnacentral:rRNA from 1 species
GACGAACGCUGGCGGCGUGCCUAAUACAUGCAAGUCGAACGCAGUUGCGAACGGGUGAGUAACGCGUAGGUAACUGCCUCAUAGCGGGGGAUAACUAUUGGACACGAUAGCUAAUACCGCAUACUGUGAGAGGGACCUGCGUUGUAUUAGCUAGUUGGUUAGGUAAAGGGCAACCAAGGCGACGAUACAUAGCCGACCUAGGAGGUUGAUCGGGCACACUGGGAAUGAGACACGGGCCAGACUCCUACGGGAGGCAGCAGUAGGGAAACAUUGGCCAUGGACGGAAGUCUGAACGAGCAACGGCGCGUGAGUGAAGAAGGUUUUCGGAUCGUAAAGCUCUGUUGUGAGAGGAGCGGUAACUAACCAGAAAGGGACGGCUAACUACGUGCCAGCAGCCGCGGUAAUAC